GGUUAAGCGACUAAGCGUACACGGUGGAUGCCCUGGCAGUCAGAGGCGAUGAAGGACGUGCUAAUCUGCGAUAAGCGUCGGUAAGGUGAUAUGAACCGUUAUAACCGGCGAUUUCCGAAUGGGGAAACCCAGUGUGUUUCGACAGACUAUCAUUAACUGAAUCCAUAGGUUAAUGAGGCGAACCGGGGGAACUGAAACAUCUAAGUACCCCGAGGAAAAGAAAUCAACCGAGAUUCCCCCAGUAGCGGCGAGCGAACGGGGAGCAGCCCAGAGCCUGAAUCAGUGUGUGUGUUAGUGGAAGCGUCUGGAAAGGCGCGCGAUACAGGGUGACAGCCCCGUACACAAAAAUGCACAUACUGUGAGCUCGAUGAGUAGGGCGGGACACGUGGUAUCCUGUCUGAAUAUGGGGGGACCAUCCUCCAAGGCUAAAUACUCCUGACUGACCGAUAGUGAACCAGUACCGUGAGGGAAAGGCGAAAAGAACCCCGGCGAGGGGAGUGAAAAAGAACCUGAAACCGUGUACGUACAAGCAGUGGGAGCACGCUUAGGCGUGUGACUGCGUACCUUUUGUAUAAUGGGUCAGCGACUUAUAUUCUGUAGCAAGGUUAACCGAAUAGGGGAGCCGAAGGGAAACCGAGUCUUAACUGGGCGUUAAGUUGCAGGGUAUAGACCCGAAACCCGGUGAUCUAGCCAUGGGCAGGUUGAAGGUUGGGUAACACUAACUGGAGGACCGAACCGACUAAUGUUGAAAAAUUAGCGGAUGACUUGUGGCUGGGGGUGAAAGGCCAAUCAAACCGGGAGAUAGCUGGUUCUCCCCGAAAGCUAUUUAGGUAGCGCCUCGUGAACUCAUCUCCGGGGGUAGAGCACUGUUUCGGCAAGGGGGUCAUCCCGACUUACCAACCCGAUGCAAACUGCGAAUACCGGAGAAUGUUAUCACGGGAGACACACGGCGGGUGCUAACGUCCGUCGUGAAGAGGGAAACAACCCAGACCGCCAGCUAAGGUCCCAAAGUCAUGGUUAAGUGGGAAACGAUGUGGGAAGGCCCAGACAGCCAGGAUGUUGGCUUAGAAGCAGCCAUCAUUUAAAGAAAGCGUAAUAGCUCACUGGUCGAGUCGGCCUGCGCGGAAGAUGUAACGGGGCUAAACCAUGCACCGAAGCUGCGGCAGCGACGCUGAUGCGUUGUUGGGUAGGGGAGCGUUCUGUAAGCCUGUGAAGGUGUGCUGUGAGGCAUGCUGGAGGUAUCAGAAGUGCGAAUGCUGACAUAAGUAACGAUAAAGCGGGUGAAAAGCCCGCUCGCCGGAAGACCAAGGGUUCCUGUCCAACGUUAAUCGGGGCAGGGUGAGUCGACCCCUAAGGCGAGGCCGAAAGGCGUAGUCGAUGGGAAACAGGUUAAUAUUCCUGUACUUGGUGUUACUGCGAAGGGGGGGACGGAGAAGGCUAUGUUGGCCGGGCGACGGUUGUCCCGGUUUAAGCGUGUAGGCUGGUUUUCCAGGCAAAUCCGGAAAAUCAAGGCUGAGGCGUGAUGACGAGGCACUACGGUGCUGAAGCAACAAAUGCCCUGCUUCCAGGAAAAGCCUCUAAGCAUCAGGUAACAUCAAAUCGUACCCCAAACCGACACAGGUGGUCAGGUAGAGAAUACCAAGGCGCUUGAGAGAACUCGGGUGAAGGAACUAGGCAAAAUGGUGCCGUAACUUCGGGAGAAGGCACGCUGAUAUGUAGGUGAAGUCCCUCGCGGAUGGAGCUGAAAUCAGUCGAAGAUACCAGCUGGCUGCAACUGUUUAUUAAAAACACAGCACUGUGCAAACACGAAAGUGGACGUAUACGGUGUGACGCCUGCCCGGUGCCGGAAGGUUAAUUGAUGGGGUCAGCGCAAGCGAAGCUCUUGAUCGAAGCCCCGGUAAACGGCGGCCGUAACUAUAACGGUCCUAAGGUAGCGAAAUUCCUUGUCGGGUAAGUUCCGACCUGCACGAAUGGCGUAAUGAUGGCCAGGCUGUCUCCACCCGAGACUCAGUGAAAUUGAACUCGCUGUGAAGAUGCAGUGUACCCGCGGCAAGACGGAAAGACCCCGUGAACCUUUACUAUAGCUUGACACUGAACAUUGAGCCUUGAUGUGUAGGAUAGGUGGGAGGCUUAGAAGUGUGGACGCCAGUCUGCAUGGAGCCGACCUUGAAAUACCACCCUUUAAUGUUUGAUGUUCUAACGUUGACCCGUAAUCCGGGUUGCGGACAGUGUCUGGUGGGUAGUUUGACUGGGGCGGUCUCCUCCUAAAGAGUAACGGAGGAGCACGAAGGUUGGCUAAUCCUGGUCGGACAUCAGGAGGUUAGUGCAAUGGCAUAAGCCAGCUUGACUGCGAGCGUGACGGCGCGAGCAGGUGCGAAAGCAGGUCAUAGUGAUCCGGUGGUUCUGAAUGGAAGGGCCAUCGCUCAACGGAUAAAAGGUACUCCGGGGAUAACAGGCUGAUACCGCCCAAGAGUUCAUAUCGACGGCGGUGUUUGGCACCUCGAUGUCGGCUCAUCACAUCCUGGGGCUGAAGUAGGUCCCAAGGGUAUGGCUGUUCGCCAUUUAAAGUGGUACGCGAGCUGGGUUUAGAACGUCGUGAGACAGUUCGGUCCCUAUCUGCCGUGGGCGCUGGAGAACUGAGGGGGGCUGCUCCUAGUACGAGAGGACCGGAGUGGACGCAUCACUGGUGUUCGGGUUGUCAUGCCAAUGGCACUGCCCGGUAGCUAAAUGCGGAAGAGAUAAGUGCUGAAAGCAUCUAAGCACGAAACUUGCCCCGAGAUGAGUUCUCCCUGACCCUUUAAGGGUCCUGAAGGAACGUUGAAGACGACGACGUUGAUAGGCCGGGUGUGUAAGCGCAGCGAUGCGUUGAGCUAACCGGUACUAAUGAACCGUGAGGCUUAACCUU
rnacentral:rRNA from 1 species